GCCCCUGCUCGCGCCCCGCCCCGGGCCUUU
rnacentral:sRNA from 1 species